AAAACCAAACGAACCCAAAAAACCCCAACGUAAACCACAGCUGGAAAAUGCCAUUUCUGGCUAAAAUUCCAGCUCACUUUCACGAGGUUCAGCCCUUGUUAGCCCAUUUAAGGCAAGAAAUUAAUGCUUCUUUGUCUUCUUGCUCACAGAGAUAAACGGUAACACCCUUUUCCCAUUUUUUUUUUAAAUUUUUGAAGAAGAAUUCAAACUUCCUUGAGAAGAUUUGGGUUUCAAAGGAAAUCCCAAAAUAUUUUCAAUCUGAAGUCCAGUCCCACAUCGGUUGCACUUUUUUCAGACCCAACAUUUGGGGUUCUAUAAAUAAAACCCCUUUCUCUUCAUUUUAAAAAAAGUUCAGAGGCCAAAAAAUUGGUCUUUACACUUCAAAUGGGCUUUCGUCAACCCCAAGAGUGAGAACACUCAGAGACCCGGCUAUGCCGUUGAUUUUCGAGGAAGUUCUCGCUCAAGUUUAUUUUUUGGAAGUCGUUUCCGUUCGUCGGAAAUCGAUUCCGGGUGAAAGGUCGUUCGUCGACUCUCGUCGCUCCGUCGCUGCAUGCAAAAAAGGUAGAUAAGGAGAUGGUUCGGAUUCAUAGGCUGCCAUCUCAGCGUUGGUACAGGAGCACUCCACUUGUUCCGGAGUCGUAGUCCAGUUGGUAUGGUUUUAUGUACAGAUGGGUAUGGCGGGGUUUUGUCCCGUCCUUAUUAUGUUAUGAUUCCAGUAGAGGCUCGUAUACAGAUAUGUACAGCUAGAUGUCUGGUGACCUUCUCGGUCCCUCUUGUGUUGCAUCACUGUUUUGGUAGCCUAGUCGGCUCGAGUGCUUGAGACCAGCUUGAUGAUGUAUAUAUGUAUGUAUCUUUUGGGCUUGUGUCCCUUACAGUUUAUGGCAUUUAAUAGUUAGCAUUAUGGCCCACUCAGGUAUGGAUAUGAGAUGCAUGUACAUAUUGUGGUGCUCGGUAGGUUAGCUUCGGGUGCCCGUCAUGGCCCUCUUGUUGGGUCGUGAUAGUGUAGAUGCCUUUAAAUGAACCAGAUUUCCAGAUUCUCAGCUUUAAAAGGUAAUGUUCACCCCUACCAAGUUAGAAACUUGUUACAGGGGCCUGUUAAAAUUGUUUUUUCUAAGUGCUUUUCGUAAGCUACAACAGCCUUCUAAUUAAGUGAGUAUAGGAUUUCCAGUUCUCAUUAUUUCCCUUCCUUAAGCUAGAACCUAACUCUAAAAAAUUUAUCCUUGAGAAUAGAAGCCUACUGUUAAAUAUGAUUGGCCUGGAUGUAUUCAAAGUGAUCUAUUGUUCCCUUGUCAAGGGUUUUAAACUACCUAAAUAGUGAAAGAUGUUUCUUGUUCUGUCAUCUAAAUCAAUUUGGGAACUAAAGUGUAGAUAUCUGCUUUACUAGUUUCUAUUUCUAGCUAGCCAUUGGGUCAUGAUUGAGGUCCCGGAGAUUUGUUGUUGUUUGGGUUAGCUGAUUGGUUUUUCUUUUUUUUUUUUUUUUUUGCCUGAUAGAAGGAUGUGUUUAAUUGUUCUGCCUUUGCUUGCAAAUAGUCAAGUCAGAGGCUUAUUCACAUGUGGCAAGAGUCAUCUGUUUCUGUCUUUAAAUUUGUAUAAGGAUUUGACAUAAAUGCCUUAGUUUGCACCUUGGAAAAUUUCAGAUUCAUAUGAGUAGGUACUAACAUGAGAUAUAAAGUGCCAUUAAAUUAAUGACAUGAUAUAAAGUGUCUUUUCCUUUACCAAAUCAUUGACUACCCCAAAUAUACCCUUAAGUCAAGUUCUUUCAUGUUCUUAAUCUUAAAGAUAACUUGUAAAAUCUGGAUAUUCUUUUAUGACAUAAGGCUGUUUUUAUGUGCUAGUCUACUUUAAGAAUCUGUGACUUUGCCUAGUAUUUUGACCCUUGACUAAGUGGUGAUGACCAUUCAAUAAGUGAGAUGUCUUUUGCCAUAACUUUGUUGGAACUGUUCAUUUGGGAUACUCAUCCUUCACUUCUCUUUUCUUUUUUCUUUGAAAUACUUGGGGGACUUUGCUUCUCAAAUGCUCCUGAGGUGCUGCUGAUUUGGGAAGUGACUGCUACUGGUUGUUACUGGUUUCUCUGUGAAUGUGUUGCUGCUUCUUUGGAAGGGCAAACUACUGCUAUCUAUUAGUUGUUGCCCACUGCUGAUUGAAAGGGUUCAUGUAAGUGUGUUACUAUACUUGGUCUUGAACUACUACUGAUCUCUAGAGAAUUGCUGCAUUUUGAGAAGGUGGCUGAGCUGUCACUUUGAUGAACUGUUGCAUCUUUAGAGAUACCAUUUUGGGGCUGGAAUUUAUUAUAUGCUGAUGCUACAUGUUAGCAUCAACCAAUAUUCAUCUUGAAUUGGAUUUGAGGCAAACUUCCUGGAGCAAGCAGAUGCUCUCAAUUUGUCUUUGUUCUACAAAAAUGAACAGAUGAUACACUGGUUGAGAACUUGCUGCAUUUGGCUGAGACACUUUAAAUUGUUGUACUUUAGCAUUUGUGCCUUGGAUGAGUUAACUGGCCUUUUGUUGAAAAAGGAAAUGAACAGAUGUUAUUUUAAAAAUUGAGAAAUAUGUUGCUGUUGAGCUGCUAUAAUUUGGGCUAAGAUGUUAGUGUCUUCUGAGGGUAUUGCUGCACCUUGGUUGCUUCAUUUAGCUGAUGCUUUCACUAAAAAGGAACAAAUUCUACAAAUGACUAAAGAAGGGUUGUUGUUUGGCAUAUGUUGCUGAGAAAAGCUACUGCUUUGAUGAGAAUAUGUUGAUGUCUUUUGAUGAAGCAGGCUGUGCCAUAGUUUGAUAGAUUAUUUUGAGGGCAACUCGAUGCUGUGUUCUGAGCCAAAGUGCUGCUGCACUUUCAGGCAAGCAGAAGCUGCAUUCUGACCAGUUUGCUGCUAUUCACUUGUUGUUUUGAAUUGAAUCAUGUUGUGGGAAACCUAUAUGUUUCUAGGAUCAGAUGCUGCACUUGAUGAGUUUUGAAUCAUGAUUAUUAAACAACUUAUGUGUUUCAGAGUUCAGAAAACUACACUUGAUAAAAACUCACUGAUAUGAACUGAUUCUACACUUGGUUUUUUUUAGAUAUCACAUCUUAAACUGAUUUGAACAUGAUACUACACAAGGGCCAAUGAAAAAAUGAUUUUUUUCUGGCCAUGCCUUGUCCGGAAAGGUUAUCCCUCAGUUUAGGCAAUGAUAAUUUCAUAGUGAUAUCACGAGGUAGGAACCAACAUGCGCUUGGCAAGGCAACUAGAAUGGCCACUAGUUUGCAGCCGCAACACGAUUCGGGUUCCUUUGCCAUAUUCGGAACCGUGAGUCCGAGCCUCGGUGAUCAAAGCUCUCAAAGUUUGAUACGAGUCCGAGGGAUAUUAUUAUUUAUAUUCAUAAACGUCACCCUAUGGGGUGGCGUAUCAUUUGACUAACUAUUUUCAUUUCAUUCUUGUGAGGUACGUCUAAUUAAUAUGGGUCCGCGAGAUGAGAUUCUACCAAAGACAAAGUGAAGUAAAGUUGAAAGCCCGACAACUCGGAUGAAGGACUAGAAGAGCAUAGCAGAACGAGAACAAGACUAUUGAAUGAUUUGGGUCCAAGGCCAUAAAAUCCUAAACUUUUCUUCCCCUUCUUGUAGUAUAGUUUUACAUUAUUUUCUGUGUGAACAGUCAAAAAAUGCAUUUGUAGGGAUAUUGAAACCCUUAUAAGUUAGAACCUAGGAUUUUGUUAAACAUUAUGAGUAGGGCCCGAAUGUGUUUCAAAUUUAGUCCGAAUGAUAAAGGAGUUGUAUUCCAUUUGUUUAAAGUAAAUAAAAGUGAGAAUUUUUAUCAGUGAA